ACAUCAGAGAGCUCCUACAGGACAAGAACCCAAUGAAUAUAAUGAAUGUAAACAAGCAAUUAAGAUUUCAAACUUUAAGAGAAUUGACACAGUAGAGAAACUUUAUGAGUUUACUGAGUGUAGAAAUGCCUUACACAAAAAGUUCCACUUUACCCAUUAUCAGAGAACUCACAUAGAAAUCUUGUGAAAGUAGUCAGUGUGGCAGAACCUUCAACAAAAAGUCUUAUCUCACAAAACAUCACAGGCUACACACAGGGGAGAAUCCCUAUGAAUGUAGUGAAUGUGGCAAAGCCUUUUAUAGUAAGGUACAUCUCACUAGACAUCAGAGAAUACACAUAGGGGAGAAGCCCUCUGAAUGUGCUGAGUGUGAGAAAACUUCCUGUGUGACAUCAACACUGAGUGUGCAUCAGAGAACACACAUGGGAGAAACCUUAUGAAUGUACUGAAUGUGGGACAAUCUUUAACCACAAGUCAACACUCACUGAACAUCAGAGAACACACACAGGAGAAACUAUGAAUGUACUAAAUGUAGGAUAACCUUUUUUGCAAAGUUAAAACUCAUUGGACAACAAAGAAUACACACUGGGGAAAAACCUUAUGAAUGUAUCAGAUGUGGGAAAACUUUCAGUGGUAAUUCAUGCCUCACAGUACAUCAGAGAAAACACACGGGGGAGAAACCCUAUGAAUGUACCGACUGAGAAAACCAGUAGCAAUUUAAAUCUCACACUACAUCAGAGAACAGAUACAAGAGAGAAACCCUAUGAAUGUACUGAAUGUGGGAAAACCUACACUCACAAAUCAAGUCUCAAUGAACAUUGUAGAAUAUAGGGCAAAAGCUCUGUGAAUGUAAUAAAUGUGACACAUCAUUGUGCCACAGUUCAGUCCUUACUAAAUGUCAGAGAAUUCAAAGAGGAAAGAAGCACUGUAAGUAUAAUGAAUGUAAGAAAUCCUUUUGCUAGAAGACAAACUCUGUGGUACAUCAGAUAGCACACAUAGCGGAAAAUGUCUUUUAAAUGUUGAAAAUGUCUUAAAUAUUGAAACUCCAAAAUUAAAUCCAUAAACCAAACUCAUUAUAUAUGAGAGAACUGAUGAAAUGCAGCCGUGAACAUCAAAUAAUCAUAAUCAACAAAUCAAUAAAAAAAACCUUGUAUAUAUAAGCAUAAUUACUUGUACAUCAAAUUAUUAGUCUAGGAUUUAAACCUUAUGGACAGUUGGUAUUAACAUUUGACAAGAUUUAA